rnacentral:rRNA from 1 species
UACGUAGGCAGCAAGCGUUGUUCGGAAUUACGUUGGGCGUAAAGGGUGCGUAGGUCGGCUUUUAAGUUUGGUGUGAAAUUCUCCCGGCUCAACUGGGAGGUGCGCCGAAUACUGAGAAGCUAGAGUGUGGAGAGGAAAGUGGAAGUUCCUGGUGUAGGCGGUGAAAUGACGCAGAUAUCAGGAGGAACACCGGUGGCGAAGGCGGGAUCGUCUGGGCCGUAAACUGACGCUGGAGGAGCGAAAGCGUGGGGAGCGAACAGGA